UUAUAUGGUCAAGAAGAGAAGCGCAAACGGUGGAUGCCUUGGCAGUAAGAGGCGAAGAAGGACGUGGAAUCCUGCGAAAAGCUAUGGGGAGCUGGAAACGAGCGAUGAGCCAUAGAUGUCCGAAUGGGGGAACCCGGCUGCAGCGAUGCGGUCAUUUGCAUUUGAAUACAUAGGAUGCAAAGGCGAAC
rnacentral:rRNA from 1 species